UUCCCAUGCGCAUUCCGAUGAAGAUAGUUCUCCUUGCUGUGGGUGGAGUGCAAACUCUCUCUGUGCUCCGGGCCAGGACAGUGGCCAGGAAAGGCACAGGCUUCCAGUUCUGAACAGUUUACCAUGUGGUAGAGUGCAAACCCCUGGCGGGCGCCAUGUUGGCGUCCCUGUCCAUCACCCGGCAACCGCUGGCACCACCCCUGAUGUCACCCCAGCGCCGGCUCUGCAUCCAGCCUCCUUGAUCGGUGUCAUUUCCUGUCUUUAAUUUUUAUGAAUGAAAGUGGGCUGGGAGUUUGAAUGUGAGCGUUAGUCUGAGGUCUGGCAGAGGCGGGAAGGAGGUGAGUGCACGCAUUUAGCAACUGCUGGGAUUGCUGAGCUUCCUGGGCUCUGACAGCUGGCCCUGGAAUUGUGGAACGGGACCGCAUUCACUUGCCCAUCCGGAUGAAGAUACUGCUCCAUGCUGCGGGUGUCUGUGAGCUCUGGAGUAACUCUGCACUAUCCUGCUGUCAUCUCUGCAGAAGCGGUCUGCAGGCAAAGUGGCUUCCUGGCACGACCCUCCUGAGGGCACAAAAGAUUCCUGUGGGGAUGGAACCAGAGCCUGGCCGCCCUGGAUAGCUGGGCUGUGUACCCAACCCUCGCUUCUGUGUGUGUGAGCUGCUGAGACAGCCUGAGAAAGGAGACCGUGACAAUGACAAUGAUGACGUUGAGAGCAACUUGUUACUUCCAGCUGGCAUUGCCCUCCGGUGGGUAGCCUUCUUGCUGAAGAUCUACGGAGCUGAGGACAUCCCCCAGAAGUAGAGCAGAAAAGCCCAUCUCAGACUUCAGGAAAAAUCAGAAAGACCCAGAGAAGACGUAUCACACUCACAGGAGGCAGAGACUGGUCCGAAAAUGCAAGAAAGAUUUGACACAGAUGGCUUCUAGUACUGCAAGGGUAAGAGGGGCGGGAAGAGGGAGCUGGACCCGGUGCUCUGCCUGCCACACUGCGCAGAGGUACGGCAACAGGGCUGUUUUCUGCAGAGCCAUUUACAAAUCAAGGAUAUGAUCCUGGGUUCUGGAAAUGUACCUGUCUAGUGGCCCAGAGGCAACCCACGUGGCAAGUCAUAGCUCUGUCUCAGGUGAUGAAGCCCAUGAGUCUCAGGAUGCGCAGUGGCGGGCGUCACCAGGACUUUCAGUCCACAACAGUGUCCCAAGCCCGGAAAGCCAAAAAAUGAUAUUGUACUAUAGUGCAUCAUAAAGUUGUACCUGCUUAUGUCAGCAAAUUGACUCUAACAAAUGAUUCUUUGUUAUAUUUAAGCCUGAUUAUGUUGUUCCAUGGUUAUUGAUCCAUCUGUCCACCAUGUAAUUGACGACCAGCUUAUAAAAGUACUUAGAGCCUUGCAGUACACUUCUAUUUUGCAUAGCCCAUUUGUUUAUCAGCUGCCUCACAUAAGGGGAAUGCAUUCUGUAUGUCCAGUUGUUGCUUCAGUUGUCUCAGAUUUAGUACAUCUGUAUGUUUCCAAACAAUAAGAACAUAAUUUUGAUGAUAUUGAGACAAAUUAUGAACACUUCCUUGUUCACCUACUAAAUGCAAUAUGGAACAAAGGCUAACAAACUAUACCACAUUUUCUGGGAAGACUAAGUUUAGUAUACUAGAAAGGAUUCAGAAGUGUAGAGCUAGUCUCAAUUCUACAAAAUGAGAGAAUUGCCUGAAGGGAGAAGAGAUUCCUUAAAAAUAAAGCAAUGGGGGUACAGAAAAUUACUAUAAAUAUUUGAGGGAACAAGGGAAAGAGAAGAUGCUGCAGAGAGCAGAAGGUCCCAUGGUAAGGAGAAGGCAGUCUUAGUCUUAUUAAAAGGACCAAAGCUUUUUUCUUAUAACGUGGAUUUAAUUCAUUUAGCAUUAAAAGGGUGACAGCCUUUUCACUCUCAAUGCAAUAAAGAUUGGAGCUCAUU